GACGAACGCUGGCGGCGUGCUUAACACAUGCAAGUCGAGCGGAGCGGCGAACGGGUGAGUAACGCGUGAGUAACUGCCCCCCUCUCUGGGAAAACAGUUGGAAACGGCUGCUAAUACCGGAUAGUGGGGGAUGACUCGCGACCUAUCAGCUUGUUGGUGGGGUAGUGGCCUACCAAGGGGACGACGGGUAGCCGGCCGGAGAGGGCGACCGGCCACAUUGGGCUGUGAUACGUCCCCAACUCAUACGGUGGGAAGAAGUGGGGAAUAUUGCCCGAAGGGGGAAACUCUGCUGCAGCAACGCCGCGUGCGGGAUGGAGGCCUUCGGGUUGUAAACCGCUUGACGCCAUGUCGCGGUAGUGGCAGAAGAAGCACCGGCUAACUACGUGCCAGCAGCCGCGGUAAUUC
rnacentral:rRNA from 1 species